rnacentral:sRNA from 1 species
GAUGACUGCAGAGUUCCUGGUUCAUCUCCUUGUUCUUGCCAGUCUUCUUUUAUCUGCUUUGCAUCUGUUUCGUCCUCCUCCGUUUCUCCUCCCUCCCUCUUUAAUUGUUAUUUUCCCCAUUUUUCCUCUUCUCUUCCUCCUGUCCUCUGUUCUUCCCUCUUGUUCUCUUUAUCCCUGUCUUUCCCUCCCCCUGGUUUGGUUUGCAUCAUUGGCCUCUCCCCAACAUUCCUGCCCUCCCACCUCUUCCGGAUGUUCCACCCUGGCUUUCUGUCUCCUUACCCCUGAAUCCAACAUUCUCAGCUCAGAAGCCUGGGCCUGCUGCCUGGACCCAGUGAUGAGAAUCCUUGUCUGAGGAUAGGGAACUGCAGCCUCUGUACAAAACAGCUGUAAGUGGUUCUCUACCUAGGAAUGGCUCUGCCCAAUUUAGAGGUAUCUUUGCAGAAUCAGAGCCUAACGUGCUGAAUCCAGGGUAGUUGCUAGAAGAAAACCUGAUUUACUUCUUCCUCUCUUAAAUAGCAAAGUCUGAGCUAUGUUUGUCCUCAGACCUGGAGGAAAUGGCAUCCUGGAUGGGGCAAUGGGCUCCGGUCAUCUCACGGUUCUCCCAGGCUUCAGUUUAGCAGUGUCCAGCAUGGGGGUUGUCCAGAGGUCAAUGCCUUCAUACUUGUGCUUUGUUUUUUGUGUUUUCCUCAUCCUCCCUGCCCCCUCCCCCUCAUCUCCCCUGCUCUCUCCUCCUUCCCCAAGUACCCAGUGCCCCCAGGCGUUUCCGCGUCCGGCAGCCCAACCUGGAGACAAUCAACCUGGAGUGGGAUCAUCCGGAGCAUCCAAAUGGGAUCAUGAUUGGAUACACUCUCAAAUACGUGGCCUUUAACGGGACCAAAGUAGGAAAGCAGAUAGUGGAAAACUUCUCUCCCAAUCAGACCAAGUUCACGGUGCAAAGAACGGACCCUGUGUCACGCUACCGCUUUACCCUUAGCGCCAGGACACAGGUGGGCUCUGGGGAAGCCGUCACAGAGGAGUCACCAGCACCCCCGAAUGAAGGCAACCAUACGAAAAAAACUGUCCCAGUUAAGGCCCAGGCUCAGCCUAUACAGCUGACAGACCUCUAUCCCGGGAUGACAUACACGUUGCGGGUUUAUUCCCGGGACAACGAGGGCAUCAGCAGUACCGUCAUCACCUUUAUGACCAGUACAGCUUACACCAACAACCAAGCGGACAUCGCCACCCAGGGCUGGUUCAUUGGGCUUAUGUGCGCCAUCGCCCUCCUGGUGCUGAUCCUGCUCAUCGUCUGUUUCAUCAAGAGGAGUCGCGGCGGCAAGUACCCAGUACGAGAAAAGAAGGAUGUUCCCCUUGGCCCUGAAGACCCCAAGGAAGAGGAUGGCUCGUUUGACUAUAGUGAUGAGGACAAUAAGCCCCUGCAGGGCAGUCAGACAUCUCUGGACGGCACCAUCAAGCAGCAGGAGAGUGACGACAGCCUGGUGGACUACGGCGAGGGUGGCGAGGGCCAGUUCAACGAAGACGGCUCCUUCAUCGGCCAGUACACGGUCAAAAAGGACAAGGAGGAAACAGAGGGCAACGAAAGCUCAGAGGCCACGUCACCUGUCAAUGCUAUCUACUCUCUGGCCUAACGGAGCCCACCCAGGCACAGCCACCCCUUUGCAAGUGGGAGGAGGGGAGAAGGGGAGACAAGACCACUGCAGACCUACCACAAAGCCACCACCACCUUCAGUAACAAGGGUACGAUAUGAGGGUCUGCCAAGCUGUGAGGACCAGUAACCACCAAGCCACCCACAAGCCCCCUCCUAAUGACCCCCCUUCAGCCCCGGGUGCCACCAGUGUGGGAGAGCUGGAGCCGUGGCUGAGCUCAGCUGGAGGGAGCCUGGCCCCUCGCCCGGUCUCGCAGCCACCCCGAGCGUUCCACCACACUGUCCGCCCUUGGCCUCGGCACACGCUCACCAUUUCUGUUGGUUAUGGGACUUCUCAUUGUCUUAAUUUCGCUUUGUGCAUCUUCCCCUCCAGACCCAAUGUCUCCGUUUUCUUUUCCUUUUGAAAAAGAGUCCCUGGAAAAGAAAGAAUAAGUGGAUUCUCCCCCAGGAGACCGUAAAGAUAGGCAAAAAGGAUUGAAUCCGUACCAGAACACGUAGACAGGCUGUAGUAUUCAAACCACCUCUGGGCCAGUGCAUUUCCGAAGGAUGCCUUUCUCGCCAUAUACCUCCCCGGCCCCCAACCCCUCUGCCUCGGCCUUGUCAGUUGCUGAGCUGGGCUUGGCUCCUUUCUGGAAAAUGACAGUAUUUUUGGCAGGGAGAAGGUGUGCAGGCCUCCUUGCUGCUCUCUGAUUCGGUUGGGAGGUGUGUUUACCUCUUGCUCCUCAUUCCUCCCUUGCCCUUUUCUCUGGAGUAUCUAAGAUGUGAGCUGCACUGACUCUGAAGACGUUUGAGGAACAGGAGUGGGCACGGAUAGAAAGGACUUCAACGCCAGUGACUGUGUACCUCAAGCAGAAGAAAAUCAGGUGUCUGGUCUUGGGGGCACUGUGCUCACCUCUAGAGAGAAGAAAAAGGCUGGGUUUGGACUUCCUGCCUCCCCACUGGUGAAACCCAGGAUGUAGAUAGAGGGCCACACCCACUCUGUCCAGAGUAGAGGGCACCUGUCCACGCGGCCAGGGCCCACGCUGCCACCCUCAAGGAGAUGGAACCCUGUGAUGCAAAAGCUUUGCUGGUGUGUUUGGGGCAUAAGGCACUGCUCGCCUUCCAUCUCUAGCAGUUAGAUAUCAUCAUCUCAGCCAAUUCUGUAGGACACUGAGGCUCUUGUUUGACGUGGUGUGUGGAUGGGACUUGCCCCAAGACCGAGCAGGUCUGCCCUUUCAUUGGGGUGUAUACAUAUCAGGGGACCCUGAGGUGGCACCGUACUCAGUGCUGUGAUGCCCCCACCUGGGGAGGACUCAAUGCUCUUUGUAUGCCUUAUGCAGCGCUGAUCUGUCCCUGGAGUUCCCAGGUUCCCAGCCCCUCCCUGCAAGCCUUGAAGCCUCCAGUGACGUCUAUCUCCAGGAGAGCAGGGCAGCCUAUGCAAGUGUUCCGGCAGGACCAGAAGCGGCCACUCAACACACGUCCUCACCAGUCACCCCAAAUGGAGACACUCGCAGACCUGCAGUUCUCAGACCGAAGGUGCUGCCCUCAUCCUCCCCACCUAAUGCAUUUUUGAAACCAAAGGUACCUAGCCUCAGAGACAGAGAAGGAGAGGGGGAGAUCUUGAGUCUAAGAGGAACCCUUUAGCUGUUUCUGUAGCUGAGGUCAGUUUCAGGAGGGUGAAGCUGAUCCCCAGGAAUGGAUCAGCUGCCAUGGGCACAGCCUCCGAUUUGAGCCUCCAGCUGCUAGCCAGGGGGCCUGGGCCAGACCAGGGCUCUGUCCUUCAGUGACUUUAUUAAAGCAACAUUUGCCACAUGUUUAAGCCGCAAAGGUAUUAGCAAUGCUUGCAUCAUUAAUAAUCAUUCAGUUGAAGGUCAAGCCCAUAGACACACACUCUCUGUCUGCUGGUAAGAAACCAUAGCCCAGAACUGAGCCAAUAAGGUUGUUUGAACCUGAGAGUGUGUGAUGGUCAUUUGGGCCAAGCCUCAGCUAGGGCUGCUGCCUGGACGCCUGAGGGGCAGCUUAUCACAGUGCAAGGGGACAGGGUAAACAGCAGGGGGUGGGGUGUGAGCUUGGAGGGCCCCUCCCCUGGAUUUCCUCCAACACCUGCUUGGAUACUAGGCCCACUGUCCCUGAAGGGAAUGUCAGGGAAGUGUGCCUGUGAGCUGAAUUAAAGGACUGGCCUUUCCAGAAAACGCUUUGGAUCUGAGCAGAGUAGUCAGUUUCUCAGACACUCAUUCCAUACUGCACCAUCCAUGCCAGUGUACCCAUUGCACCGAAGACAGGCUCUUCGGGCAGGAAGGGACGGUGAGCAAGUCUGCCACACCACCUGGUGACGGGGAAGGGCUGCCUCCCUCGUAAGGGUCUUGGGGAGAAGUAAGCCUGCAGCCUGCCUCUGCACCUCGUUCCACUGUCCUGCCAGGCUCUGUACUGUCCUUUGUGUAUGAAGAAAAUGCUAUUGGUCCUCUCUCAGGCUGUUCUGUGGGUGCUGAGAGCUGCCCCCCAUCACCAGGCAAUCACACCCCUCUGAGUAGAAGCAAAUCUGAGGCUGAAGAAUUAAGUUUUCCCCAAGCAAGGAAGGCAGGUGGUCAGAGAGAUCAAACGCUGAGGCGUGGGGAUUGCAGGAUUCAGGAGGCAGCUCCAUUGGGGAAGAAGAGGGUGCAUUUUCCAUGGAGCCCAUGUCAGAGUCCACCCCAGCUCAGCAGGAAAGCAGAAUUUCCCAGUACUGCCUGCCAGCUGGGUCUCCCAAGCAACUACCCCAAGACAUACCAACAGUAAAGCCAGGACAGCACCAUGCCAUCGGUACUCCAGUCUUUCUGGCUGGGAGGAAAGUGCUGGGCAUCUUACAGUAACUCUAGAAGUUCCUUUGACUAGGCUGCAAUCCCACCUGUGUGCUCAGCCCUAAGCGCUGUGGUUUCCUGUGCUCUCAUUUGUCCAUUCAUUCAUUCAUUCAUUCAUUCAUUCAUUCAUUCAGCAAAUAAUCUGAAAUCCAGUCUGAACUAAGUCCUGAGCUGUGGAUACCAUGGCGUGUGAGUUAGAUGUGGUCCCUGCCCUCACAGGGCUGACAGUCCUGAAAUCAAGUGCUGGGACACAGUGGCCAUUGAGCUGGGAGCAUUCUUCCCUCUACUGCUUAAGCCACUGAUGGCUACGAGCUUGAAGAGAGGGAUUCUGGGGGAGAGCUUGGUCCAUCUGGUCACCAAGGCUGGGCAGGACAAAGCAGUCAAGAACCACGGUGUGGCUUGAGAAACAGUCCUGCUUCCUGAGCCUCUUUGCUCUGCCUCUUGGGGCAAGCUCCUUAACCUGUCUGUAUCUUUAUGCCUCUGUCUCCCAUUCAGUUCCUCCUUGAAUACCUCUUUCUACAGAGAGGCAUGGGCUCCCCUGAAGGAUUGUCGAGGCCAGGGUUUGGGAAGUACACUGCCACGGGUCAGAGGACAGCUGCCUCCCACCUUGCCUGGGUGAUGGUGAAUGGGACUCAUCUUUCCCUGCCUUGCUUUUGAGGAGAUGGUUGAAUUUAAGCUAACAGGAAAGCCAAACCAGCACCCUCCUUUGUGCUCUGAGAGGUUGGAGACAUCUGGUCCACCCUGUCGCCCCUGCCCCGGCAAGCCCUGAAGUCGGGAGAAGUGACCACAGGUCUGAAAAUCAGCCAGUGCCAACAUUGCUUGCCCUGCAAGGUGCAACUGAGCCCACAUUCAUAGUUUCCCUGACCACAGCCUUGGGAAGAGGGUGGAAACCCCCGAGGAUGUGUGGGUUUCCCAGCUAAGGGACAAGCUCCCCUGCCACACCCAGUGCCCAUGCAUGCUCGCAUACAUACAGCAGACCACAGCCCUGUUGCCAAGCAGUGCUUCCAAGGGACAGCGAUCCAGAUUCCAACAUUGUCUUGGAGAGGGUUAGUCCACAUCUGAGUUGUGUGAGAUGAGAUGCAAAGGGCUCUGUGUGGGUGAGGAACGCAACUUAGAGAAGCGGGAGAGGCCACCAGGGUUGGGCCCUGUUUAGGUAAUUCCUGUUGGCAACACCUAGAGAGAGCAUCUGAGCUGAAGGAGUGGGAAACUUUGCCCCAGCAAUGGCACGGGCAGCGGGCUCUUUCUGGCGCCCUGUGCUGGAGCAGGGCCAAGUCUUAGGGCAUCACAAACAGCCCAUUUGAUGGAGGGAGCAGGGACAUAGCACAUUUUUGUCUGUCUUUGUGAGGCUGCUUUGCUAACUCUCUGAGGAGAGGAAGCCUCUCAGGCUUUCCAUCAGCUGGGGCUAGUGCCAGAGAAUCCCUUCUCAGUGGCCAGCAGGUUCCUGGGAGGCCAGCACAAGGCACCGCUCCCCGCUCAUGACACCUUGGUGCAGAGUGACCUCCUGCCCAGUCACCACUCCGGCCAGCCCCAGCCAAACACACAAAAGCCCAUGGUUGCGGUUGCAUCUACCCCAUUAGUUGGCAAAGGAUCCUGCUUGAGCUCUGCGUGGUGGCCAAGGAGUAGCAUGGAGGAGGGCCCUGAUUUUAAAAAGGAAGAAUAGAGAGGCCUCAAAACAAUGAAACCAAGAGCUUGAUAUGUCAAGAGGAGACCAAGGCCCUGGGAGGCAUAGGCAAGCCGGGCAGAGUCAGACCAGCGCCCUCCCUUGACUGUCUCCUAGCAUUCCCCUCCCUUAACCUAGACAGGGGCUACCCCAUGUGAGUUCAAGCCAGACUUUGUGGCUGUCCCCAGCCUGCACAGCCCAAGCCCAGGGAAGUGUCCUUUCUUUCCCUUCCUUACUAAUAAUGGGCCUUCCUGAGACACAUUCAGAGAAGGAUCAGAGAGAAAGGAGAACCAUCCAGGAGAGCCACAAGCGCCCACCAAACAGUGUCUCAAGCCUCACCUGAAGCUGCUGUUCCUCCUAUCAGCAUACUAGUAUUAAAUGAGUGUUCCAUCAUGAGGAGAAUGGAAAUAGGUACAAAGGCAUCUAGCUUAGGACAGAAUCGGAUUUCAGCAUGUUAAGGAAUCCCAGAGCUGAUCUCAUUGAAAUGAUUUAUCGUACAGACAAGGAUAUGCAAAUCCACAGAAGUGAAGGGAUUUUUGCUCAAGAUCACAUAGCUGGUAAACUAAGAUAAGGUCAGGGCUUGAACUUGGGCCUUCUGACUCCUUGUCCAGUGUUCUUUCAUCUCACCACAGCUGCCUCCUUUGAAACAGAGGUAUUAAGAUCUGUCCUUCUGGUUCACCCUCUCAUACCUCUUUACUGCCUCUCCCACACCCCCCCACAUGCCUCCCAAAAUGAAAGACAAACAGGAUUGUUUCUGAGACCAAGAUCAGUCUGUCUGUGAUCAGCCUGUGUGUGGUUCACCCAGCCGUGCAAUUAGGGCAGACCUGGGCCAGUGGAAUAGAACAGCUGAUUGGUGUUUGUUACUGUGAACCCUAGACCGUACCCCAUAGAAUGGUGUCUCUUGCUUUGUAACACAUCAGGCCUUCAGCGUGCUGUAUUCCUCAGAAGUGAGGGCAACUCUGUCCAUUCUGCCCAUGGCCACAGGUGCAGAGAGAGGUAGCAGGGCCCAUGCAAGCUGCCACCCUGGGAUUUGCUGGGCUGGAGUUCAACAGAUGUAAAGACUUCGGUGAAGCAAUAAACACAAAACUCUGGGAGAAGAUAUCCAGAAUUUUGUACAUUACUCUGUUUCUUUUUCAAAAAUGAGGCAGAUCAGAUGCCCCUGAGCUGCCCCUUUUUUUCUGAUUCCCAACUGCAAUGUCCUCAGUCAGUGUUGUCCCUUUGCCCGGCUCCCCAACUCUUUGCCAACCUCUUCACACUCCCCUUGAGCUGAGCAUCAGUCGCCUGUGACGUGGCCACCUUCUGUCCUGCUCCCACUCCCGACCCAUGCUGGACCCCGGAGGACCUCCUGCCCCGCCCCCACCACACACCCAUAUCCCCCACCAUUCCAAUUUGUUCUUUCCCGUGGGGAAUUUUUUUUCCCAGCGUCUCCAUCCCUUCCUACAUAUCCACACACACACAAAUUGGUCUGAUCUUUUUUCCAUUGGUUAAACGUUUAACUCCAUGCCAGACCUUGGUUUAACCCCUCUCACAUCAUGUUCGUUCCUUUUUUGCGAGUUAUUUUGCAUUAACCAACUUUGUCAGUGACAGAUGCGUAUCUGAGGGUGUCACGCACGACCUUCAGCAGGGAAGACUUCUGGGCCGUGGAGGACCGUCUAAUACAUGGACUUAUAAACUGACUGCAUGAGCAAUGAAAAGGCCAAAUUAUUCUGAAUUUUUUUUGAAUCACUGUAAAAAAACUGAUUUCUUUUGUAUAGAGAACACUAAACGUAUAAUAAAAGUUGUUCAAAAUGGA